rnacentral:rRNA from 1 species
GAUGAACGCUGGCGGCGUGCCUAAUACAUGCAAGUCGAGCGAACAUUCCAGGAGCUUUCUCCUUUCACGUUAGCGGCGGACGGUUGAGUACCACUUGGGUAACCUACCUUUAAGACUGGGUUAACUUCGGGAAACCGUAGCUAAUACCUGCUAAUAUUUCAUACCACUUUGUUCGAUAUUGAAAGAUGGCUUUGCUAUCACUUAUAUAUGGAUCUGCGCCGUAUUAGCUAGUUGGUAAGGUAACGGCUUACCAAGGCAACGAUACGUAGCCGACCUGAGAGGGUGAUCGGCCACACUGGAACUGAGACACGGUCCAGACUCCUACGGGAGGCAGCAGUAGGGAAGCUUCGGCAAUGGACGAAAGCCUGACGGAGCAACGCCGCGUGAGUGAAGAAGGUUUUCGGAUCGUAAAACUCUGUUAUUAGAGAAGAACAAGGGUGUAAGUAACUGAGCACGUCUUGACGGUAUCUAAUCAGAAAGCCACGGCUAACUACGUG